UUUCCCGUUUUUAUCUGGAAGCAGGAAACCAUUUCAUGCCCUGACUUGUGUCAGCGUUACAGCGACACCGUUUCGGAGGCCCCUCCUUUCACAUCAUAGAUUUGUGACGCUGUGAAGGUAAGCUUAACCUCAGUCACAACAGCGUCAGAUCUCAGAGGUGCAGUGGCGAUUCUCUCUUUUCGGCUCAUCACUGAACAUCUGUGGAGCAUCACAAACUGCAGGAAUCACAAAAUGAGCAGCAAAGAGAACGAGAGUCAGUCUACUGAAGCAGGAGAGAAACAGAGCAAGAGUCAAGUCAGACGGAGCAGCUUUAAUGAAGAAACGCCAAACUGUGAGUGUUCAGGAUCGUUAUGAUAAAGCAGCACGUGUGUUUCAUCAGCAGCACAGGUUCGUUUGCUCGGUUAAGUCUAUCUUAAAUUGAGGGGGCACCGAUCGAUCAGCCAUUGAUUUAAAUCGACCGAAAUCCUCUGAUUAGUGAUCGAGGCUAAACUUGAACAAAACUGGAGGAGAAAGAAGAGACCAAACGAUUCCCGCGAUUACUUUUUCGUGCGUGCUCACAGUCUCUCAGGCCAGCACUAUUCACAUAUUCUGAAGAGUCAGAUUGAACAGCUUUCAUAAAGAC
ensembl:lncRNA